rnacentral:rRNA from 1 species
GACGAACGCUGGCGGCGCGCCUAACACAUGCAAGUCGAGCGGAUGCAGAACGGGUGAGUAACGCGUGGGAACCUGCCUCUCACAACGGGAUAGCCUCGGGAAACCGGGAUUAAUACCGUAUGGUGAGAGAUGGCCUCGCGUCUGAUUAGCUAGUAGGUGGGGUAAAGGCUCACCUAGGCGACGAUCUCUAGCUGGUCUGAGAGGAUGAUCAGCCACACUGGGACUGAGACACGGCCCAGACUCCUACGGGAGGCAGCAGUGGGGAAUAUUGCACAAUGGGCGCAAGCCUGAUGCAGCCAUGCCGCGUGUAUGAAGAAGGCCUUAGGGUUGUAAAGUACUUUCAGCGGGGAGGCGUUACCCGCAGAAGAAGCACCGGCUAACUCCGUGCCAGCAGCCGCGGUAAUAC